rnacentral:tRNA from 1 species
AUUAAUAACAUUAAUUUUAUUCUUAUACUUAAAAAAGUUAUCCCUGUUUUUAUACUCCUCUAUAC